rnacentral:rRNA from 1 species
GACGAACCGUGCGAACGUUGUUCGGAAUCACUGGGCUUAAAGGGCGCGUAGGCGGGCCUCCAAGUCCGGGGUGAAAUCCUCCAGCCUAACUGGAGAAGCGCCUCGGAGACUGGGGGCCUCGAGGAGGGUAGGGGCAAGCGGAACUAUGGGUGGAGCGGUGAAAUGCAUUGAUAUCCAUAGGAACUCCGGUGGCGAAGGCGGCUUGCUGGACCCUUUCUGACGCUGAGGCGCGAAAGCCAGGGGAGCAAACGGG